GCCUGGCUGGCUCAAUCAAUAGAGCAUAUGACUCUUGAUCUCAGGGUUGUGGGUUCGAGCCCCAUGUUGGGUG
rfam:Felis catus isolate Cinnamon breed Abyssinian chromosome A1, whole genome shotgun sequence.